UAUGCACUUAACACCCUCACAAUACACUAUUCACACCAGUUUAGCAGAUACAAACUGACGUUUUUCGCCGGAGCCCUUCUGAAUGUCCGUUUGAGCUCAAAUUUGACAGUCAGGCUCGGUUUUACUUAAUAAGUACAAAGAAAUUUUAAUAUUUCAGUCUCGACCCCGUUUGGUCAACGAAAGCUGUACCGAACUGUAAUCUUUAUCAGAUAGCUGUCGGAUUUUAUUUUCUACCUUCCGGGUGUCAGAACGAUAUGAAACUUUAAAUCUAGCCUCAUAAAAAUAAUUUUGACUUAUCCUCCAGUUUUCAUAAUUUUCUGACACUGUGCAUUUUCUGCUAAUUCAUCUGUCCCGUUUCCAACAGAAAAUUCUAAAUCUUCUGUUUUCAUUCCGAUUUUAACACAAGUCACUUAUGACUUAUGUUUUACUUCUCUAAAUCUAAUAAAAAUAGUAUCUCACAUUAUUUUUAUUUAUUUUUAUUUUUACAUCAAAAUUCGGUAUGUUACAUUCUCCACCCCUCAAAAGAAUUUUGUCCGCAAAAUUCAAACCACGCCUCAAUUCAGCUCAGCGAGUAAUUGAGAGUACCAACUCAUUCUCCCACUCCAAAGCGGCUUCACACUAUCGUGGUUCCAGAAGCGGCUCAUACUGAAGGACGUGGGUUUAAUCCUAAACACAUUUGCAAAGUGUGAUACAAAAGUGCAUCACGGAUUUUGCAAGUCAUAGUGGCAGCGCAAGUCGAUACUCAACGACUCUACGCGCUCCAACACCACUCACCAUUCGGUACACAAAGAACUCUUCUUUGCACUUACCUUCCCUUCAGGGAAUACAUUCUGAUUCGGUCACGACAUUGCUUAGAAGCAAUAUCACCGAUGCAUCGCUCCGUCGUGAGUGCUCUAAUUUCGCACUGACCCUUAACUUUAACACGAGAUGGCCCACUUCGGCACAUCCCAAGUCUUAGUUCGCUUACGAGCAUAGUCUCGAACAUCACGUGGCUUUUCACUAGUUCGAUGUCGCACAAGGAGUACUUCAUCAUCUGAUACCACAUGCCACGAUCAACAUCAAACUAUUUUCGCAACGAGCUCAUGCGAACACUCCGUUCUUGAAUCCAAGCCAAACUCCUCGAUAAGGCUAUCCGCCAAAUCGCUUUUCUCAAUUUCAUAGGUGGCCCACAGACCGCCUGUCACGCCCCCGCCCCGAAACCCCUACCAAUUUGGUCCGGUUCGGGCACGGCGGACGGACGCCGAACGGACAGGACCUCUCCUGUCCGCCCAAGGCCAAACAACCUGAUCAAGUACAAUUAAGCGCCCAGAAAAUGCCUAAAUAAUAUACAUGAUCAAUACGAUGCCCACAAGUGCACUACAACUAAGAGCAAGAACCACAAGUAAAAUACAAGUGUAUAAAGAAAGGUAGUUUAACUAUUACAACCAUUCAACAUUUACAUAAGUUGAUUACAAUUACAUUUCCCUCUUCCAAAAUGUAAAUACAUGUUUUUUCCCAAAAUAUAUCAUAGCUCUCCAAUGCCUAUCCAAAAUAUACAUCUUCUAGUACACGAGGGUACUCUAUAAGCAAAAGGGAAAGCAACUAACUACUCACUUAGGGCGUUAUGCCCUUGCCGCGAUCCUCGCUCGGCUCGCCCCUGUGUAUACCUGUACCCCAAAACCACAUGGGGUGAGAACUAUAUAAAUAUAGUUCCCAGUGGGUUUGACCGCCGACUCCGCCGGUUUUCCGACUAGGUAUAAGCAGGCAUAAGCAGAUAGAUAGGUAGAUAUAUAGAUAGAAAAGUAAACUGCAAUUAUUCUACCAUGCCUUCAAUAAUGAGCAAUGCAUGCCAUAUGCAUUUGCAAUGAACCUACUAUCAUGCUAGUAUCAUGUCAUGAGUAUAUAAAAGUACAUAGUAAUGCAAUCUACAACAUACGCUAUGUCUACUCGAGGUAAUAAUGCAAUUCUACUAUGCCAUCCAUGUUUAUAACCCAAUCUACUUGGUUAACCCGUAGGUUAAACCCUCGACUCACUCUCAAUCUCAUAGGUGAGGAGAAGCUGUACUCGCACAUCGAGACCGUCUGCGGGACAACUACGUCUGCCCCUAGUGAAGCACUCCGGAGACUCGUGCUUCGGUGGAGCGACCACCGACAAGCGAAAACAGACUAGUGAGUAUGAUCCAAUCCUCUCAAGAGGAUACCCUGUCUAUUAGGGUCAAUGUGCCUUUGCUGUACAGUAUACAAUGCAUCCUAGAUGUCGGAAUUUCUACUAUCCCUAGAACCAUGUCAUGUUUACUACACUAAACUCGAUGCCACUUGUUUAGUCAUUGUAGUAAUGUUCUUUAACUAGUUGACAUGCCGCUCGUCCAAUUAGUGUUUCUACUACACUAGUUCAAUGCCACUCUACUAGGCUAUUAUAUGUCCAAGUUCGGCUCUUUAUGCCACUAUAGGAUUCCAUGUCACAAGACCCAAUCCUCAUGCUACCCUAGUUUAUGUGUCCAACUUCCAAGUUACACUACUAAGAAGCAUGCAAAGAAUUAGAAUUGUAACAAUCUACUAAUCCUAUAAUGCAUAAUAGUCAUAUAUGACCAAUAUAAAGAACUUAAAUAUAAAGAGAAACCCGGUUGCUUCGGGAUAACACCCCCAACCUCUUGAGGGUAUGGAGGCUCUAGAAAUGCCCUCCAACGAACAUUACGAUGACGUCUCGGCCUCUUAGGUCGAAAUGAAGCUUGGUUGGCCUUGUUUCGCCAAUAUCUUUUCGCCCGCUUGACGAAUCGAAAAUCCGACUUCGCCUUUGCGUUUAAACACCUAACAAUUAGGUUAGAGGAGGGUUAAAUGAGAUCAAUCAUCUACUUUUCCAAAAACCAUAAUUUGAGUGCCCUAGAGUUAGCACUAUGCAAACCCACUUCAAAAACCCUAGAUUCUAGUUCUAAUCCCACCAUUCAUGGUGCUAGGGGUCCAUUUGACCCCAUCUCAAGAGCUAAAAUCCCAAAAAUCCUAAAUUUCACAACUAGGGUUAGAAGCCUACCUUUUGUUUAGCUUCAAAGAGAGAAGAGAGGAAGAGGGAGAGGUCCAAAAGCUUCCCAAGCUUGAUCUCCUUCUUCUUCUCCUUCCUUUUCUUCCUUCUUUUCCUUCUUUUUUCUUCUUCUUCUUCUCUUUUGUUCUUUCCCUUCUAGAGAGAGAGAGGAAGAAAGAGAGUGUGUGAGGGAGAAAUGAGGGUGAGAGAGUGAGAAGGGACCCAUAUGCCCUCAUAUUGUAACAAUAUCCCAACAGCCCCCUCCACUUUUGCCUCUGUGCACUGCCUUUACUGGGCAGAAUUCGCGCGGAGGUACCGGUCUCCCCGACCUGGGACCGGUCCCCGAGAGUGGGAUUUUCAAGACUUAGCCAAAUUUCUGGCUUUCUCGCUGGGUUCGCGUUCGGGAACCAGUCCCUCCCUGCCAGGGACCGGUUGCCUCAAGGAUCCUCGCAACUAUCAGCCGAUGGGACCGGUCUCUCCCUGCCAGGGACCGGUCCCAGAGAGCAAUUUUUGCCCAGUGCAGGUUUUGCACUAUUUUCUCUCGUGGACUCGUCUCUAAGGCACUUUUGGUGAUUUAGGCAUCUUCGGCCUUUCCGAAGCUCACCAACACGACCCUUGGUAGAUUCUAAACGAAGUCCAACUCUCGUAUUUCGAGAAUUCACUUCCUUACACCGCCAGUGCCACAAAGGCCUAUCGCCUAACCUGUCUCAAUACGCAGCGUCUCUCGCUCGCAUAUGCAGGCCCAAUCAUCAUCGGGUAAAAUUCUCACUUGGGAAUUCGCACACACUCCAACCAGGAGCAACUAAGACCCCAAACCACAUCAUAUUCUCGGGUUGGGUCAUUACACACUCGGUGUAUCCUCGAUCUCGCGAUCCAAUGCGUGGCAUUCCACGUUCCCGGGUCUAAGCUCGGACUACCGCCCUGACCAUAACUCUGCCCUACCCGUAGGUACCGGGCCGCUGUCACUCACAGCUGACUGCGCCGGCCCAAAGGGCCCAGGCUCCACAGUCCACAAAUGGUCCAAGCACGGGUCGUCCCCAAGCACUACCCGCCGUCGUCGUCUUACACGACAUGCUCUAUCGAGUCGCACGUAGCAAUAUCGGCUCCUAUGCACCUAGUGCGAGUCACCAACCCUGCGAGUGAUCCAUGGCCCGCUUCAUACUUAGCAUUGCUACAGUGCUAUUGCCAUCUCACUCACUCGGCUGAAUCCACAUCCGCACUCUAUGAGUAUCUACACUCAAGCGGUCUACGUCUCUACAGCGUUCCACACGAAGUCCAGCAUUAAGCAAUCUUGCCUAUGCACACCGGCCGCAUGAGCACAACCGCCUACCUCACCUUGAGGUACUACUAGGCCCACGUGCUCAAACUUGGCCACUAAUCGACCGUUCUCUCAACAGUGAUUCUACUUUCACCGUCCAAUCUAUCGGAACAAUAUCCGAAAUUCUCGGAUUACUCGGGUGCCUACAAGUAUCAUGGCUAAACUCUCGCAAUCUACUGAUUAUGUUGCCUUGAGAGUCGCUACGCCAUUUCAUCUCCACCACGAGUGUCAUUUCUCGCCAUAGAUCACUACUAGCACUUCACUUAUGCCAUCUGGCUCUAUACCUGUACUGGCAGGUACUACGCCCUCACAACACGAGCAUGCCCGGGUAUCUAUACUUACCCGUCCACUCGGUCUCUACUAUACUCAUGCACGACAAUAGUAACUAACCACAUAACCAUUGUAUGCAAUGCAUCAACUUCACAUCAUGCAAAAUAUAUGCUUGUAUCAAUAACCCAUACCUUCAACAACGUCGUCAGCAGCAGGUUCCUCAACCUGGGUUGCGCAUCUACGGCCACCCGGCGCUUGCCGCGAACCCUUAGGUUGCAUUGUCCUAAACGCCCUCUCGUAGCUCACACUGCUGUGGGUAACGAAAACACCCACAAACAACACAUCUCACCAAGGACUGAAUACAGUAGGUCCCCGGAACUCGGGAUCACGAGCGCAAACACAUUGCACUCAAUUGAGAACUUGACGGACCACCGAAUCCACUCACAUUGCACAAGCUAAAUAGUCUGUUUCUUCAAUAUCUUUACAACGGCUCGACGAAUCGCCGAACCGACUUCGCCAACGCGUUCGUUUACCUAGCAAUUAGGUUUACGAAGGGUCAAAUGAGAUCAAACCCUAUUAUUUUACAAAACCCCAUUUGGAGCCCUAACGUGCAAAUAACCUCCAAAUAAUUCAAAUUAAAUAGAGCAAAUAUGUUUAGAACACUUUAGAUACUACUAGAACAUCAUUCAUGAAGGAUUUAAACAAAAUUCCAAAAGCUUACCAAAAUGUGAACGCCGCGACGAAAGCAUGCCGCUCCAACGACCGCACGAAAGCUCGAUCCUCGCUUCCAACGCGUUCGCAAGCUCACUCUCCACCAACCCUCAAAUUUUUAGAAAGAGAUUUAAAGAGAUGAGAGAGAUAUUUAGAGAGAGAGAGGAGAGUUUCUCUCACUAGCACCAUGUGUGCGUGUGAUGUUGGUGCUCGGGCUGAGGGAGAAGAAGCAAAUGCUUCUUAUAUACUUAACGCCCUCACAAUACACUAUUCAUAUCAGUUUAGCAGAUACAAACUGAUGUUUUUCGCCGGAGCCCUUCUGAAUGUCCGUUUGAGCUCAAAUUUGACAGUCAGGCUCGGUUUUACUUAAUAAGUAAAAAAAAAUUUUAAUAUUUCAGUUUCGACCCUAUUUGGUCACCGAAAGCUGUAUUGAACUGUAAUCUUUAUCAGAUAGCUGUCGAAUUUUAUUUUUCACCUUCCGGGUGUCAGAACGAUAUGAAACUUUAAAUCUAGCCUCAUAAAAAAAAUUCUGACUUAUCCUCCAGUUUUUAUAAUUUUCUGACACUGUGCAUUUUCUGCUAAUUUAUCUGUCCCGUUUCCAACAGAAAAUUCUAAAUCUUCUAUUUUCAUUACGAUUUCAGCACAAGUCACUUCUAACUUAUGUUUUACUUCUCUAAAUCCAAUAAAAAUAUUAUCUCACACUAUUUUUAUUUAUUUUUAUUUUUACAUCAAAAUCCGGUAUAUUAAAGGUACGAUUCGUUCGCAAAUCUGACGGACGGAUUUGCAGAUAUCGCUCGUUGAUCGAGGAGGGGGCUUAAAUGGCAAAACGGUAUUUUU
rnacentral:lncRNA from 1 species